UACGUAGGGUGCAAGCGUUGUCCGGAAUUAUUGGGCGUAAAGGGCUCGUAGGCGGUCCAUCGCGUCGGGAGUGAAAAGCUGGGGCUUAACCCCAGUCCUGCUUCCGAUACGGGUGGACUAGAGGUAGGUGAGGGGAGAGUCGGAAUUCCUGGGUGUGAGCGGUGGAAAUGACGCAGAUAUCAGGAGGAACACCGGUGGCGAAGGCGGAUCUCUGGGCCGAUACUGACGCUGAGGAGCGAAAGCGUGGGGAGCGAACAGG
rnacentral:rRNA from 1 species